rnacentral:rRNA from 1 species
UACGUAGGGUGCAAGCGUUAAUCGGAAUUACUGGGCGUAAAGCGUGCGCAGGCGGUUCUAUAAGACAGAUGUGAAAUCCCCGGGCUCAACCUGGGAACUGCAUUUGUGACUGUAGAGCUGGAGUACGGCAGAGGGGGAUGGGAAUUCCGCGUGUAGCAGUGAAAUGCGUAGAUAUGCGGAGGAACACCGAUGGCGAAGGCAAUCCCCUGGGCCUGUACUGACGCUCAUGCACGAAAGCGUGGGGAGCAAACAGG